UUCCCAUUGGCUCCUCCGCCUCCCACCAGAAUUCGAGUGAUUGGUUCCAGAAUAGGAGUGACAGAAGCAUCUACCAAUGACAGUGAUUACCGGAAAAGCAAUCCAGCUCAUCUCCUUACCUCCUGCCUCUUUCACCUGGACUCCGCAUAGCAGUCAGAAUAAUGUAUCUAUAAUGCAAGCUGAUCACAUCUCUUCCCUGCUUAACACCUUGAACAUCAAGAUAACAUCCAACUCCUAAGUUCACCAGGGCCUUCAUGAUCUGACAGCUUCUCAUUCUUCAAAUCUCACCACCUCAGAGAUGUCUCUCCUGAUUCUGUCUAAAGUUUUGAUACUCUACCUCCAUUCCCCAACCUCCAACCCCCCAAAACCUGUGGCAUAUAGCUCUAUUUGUCAGAUAGUUUAUUUGAGGGGAUUGCAAACUCUUUAAAAAUCUGUUCUGCUACAAUUGUUCACAGCAUGGUCCACAGCUGCGACUACUCUUGAAAAACACCAACAGAUGAAGAUAUUUAUGAAUUUUAUGGGUGAGGAUUAAGGUGUGGAGCUUGGAGUGGCAGAGCCUUAUCACCUCUAAAAUAGUAUGAGACACUCAGUCCAUUUAGAGGGAAGGGAACAUGGAAGGAGGAAGGUGGUUUCAACAAGCCCAGUCUGUAACUAGCAUUCUCAGAGUCAACUUGUAACUUUCAGUUCAUGAUUCAUUGGAUUGCUCAGGACCUUCGUUUCUUUUCAACUUCUAUCUUUUCUAUAAUAACAUGGAAUGUUAUAGUA